rnacentral:rRNA from 1 species
CUACGGGAGGCUCCAGUGGGGAAUAUUGCACAAUGGAGGAAACUCUGAUGCAGCAACGCCGCGUGGAGGAUGACACUUUUCGGAGCGUAAACUCCUUUUAUAUAGGAAGAAGAUGACGGUACUAUAUGAAUAAGCGCCGGCUAACUCCGUGCCAGCAGCCGCGGUAAUACGGAGGGCGCAAGCGUUACUCGGAAUCACUGGGCGUAAAGAGCGUGUAGGCGGAUUAAAAAGCCAGAAGUGAAAUCCUAUAGCUUAACUAUAGAACUGCUUCUGAAACUCUUAAUCUAGAAUAUGGGAGAGGUAGAUGGAAUUUCUGGUGUAGGGGUAAAAUCCGUAGAGAUCAGAAGGAAUACCGAUUGCGAAGGCGAUCUACUAGAACAUUAUUGACGCUGAGACGCGAAAGCGUGGGGAGCAAACAGGAUUAGAUACCCUCGUAGUC